rnacentral:rRNA from 1 species
AUUGAACGCUGGCGGCAGGCCUAACACAUGCAAGUCGAGCGGAUGAAGGGAGCUUGCUCCUGGAUUCAGCGGCGGACGGGUGAGUAAUGCCUAGGAAUCUGCCUGGUAGUGGGGGAUAACGUCCGGAAACGGGCGCUAAUACCGCAUACGUCCUGAGGGAGAAAGUGGGGGAUCUUCGGACCUCACGCUAUCAGAUGAGCCGAGGUCGGAUUAGCUAGUUGGUGGGGUAAAGGCCUACCAAGGCGACGAUCCGUAGCUGGUCUGAGAGGAUGAUCAGCCACACUGGAACUGAGACACGGUCCAGACUCCUACGGGAGGCAGCAGUGGGGAAUAUUGGACAAUGGGCGAAAGCCUGAUCCAGCCAUGCCGCGUGUGUGAAGAAGGUCUUCGGAUUGUAAAGCACUUUAAGUUGGGAGGAAGGGCAGUAAGUUAAUACCUUGCUGUUUUGACGUUACCAACAGAAUAAGCACCGGCUAACUUCGUG